rnacentral:lncRNA from 1 species
CAUGCUUGUUCCAACAUUUAUAGUCGUGCAUGAAACCUCGAAUGAUUAAAUGAGCAUGGACAUCAACUGAACUUGAGAACUUUCUCAUGUUCUCACAAUCAAUGCAUGGACAACAUAUGGCAGAUUUCUGCUGCAUUGACAUAUCUACCUCUGAUGCGACAAUGAAUGACCUCAGACCUGCUAGAUACUCAUCACAAGUCCAGUUCUGAAGAUACAUCCA